rnacentral:rRNA from 1 species
UGUAAACGAUGUCGAUUUGGAGGUUGUUCCCGUGAGGAGUGGCUUCCGGAGCUAACGCGUUAAAUCGACCGCUGGGGAGUACGGCCGCAAGGUUAAAACUCAAAUGAAUUGACGGGGGCCCGCACAAGCGGUGGAGCAUGUGGUUUAAUUCGAUGCAACGCGAAGAACCUUACCUACUCUUGACAUCCAGAGAAUUUAGCAGAGAUGCUUUAGUGCCUUCGGGAACUCUGAGACAGGUGCUGCAUGGCUGUCGUCAGCUCGUGUUGUGAAAUGUUGGGUUAAGUCCCGCAACGAGCGCAACCCUUAUCCUUUGUUGCCAGCACGUUAUGGUGGGAACUCAAAGGAGACUGCCGGUGAUAAACCGGAGGAAGGUGGGGAUGACGUCAAGUCAUCAUGGCCCUUACGAGUAGGGCUACACACGUGCUACAAUGGCGUAUACAAAGAGAAGCGACCUCGCGAGAGCAAGCGGAACUCAUAAAGUACGUCGUAGUCCGGAUUGGAGUCUGCAACUCGACUCCAUGAAGUCGGAAUCGCUAGUAAUCGUAGAUCAGAAUGCUACGGUGAAUACGUUCCCGGGCCUUGUACACACCGCCCGUCACACCAUGGGAGUGGGUUGCAAAAGAAGUAGGUAGCUUAACCUUCGGGAGGGCGCUUACCACUUUGUGAUUCAUGACUGGGGUGAAGUCGUAACAAGGUAACCA